UACUGGAUGUCCUUCAAAGGUAAGCAGUUUUUCUUCCUUUGUUUCUGUGUCUGUGGCUGCUGCUUUUGGGCUUACUCUUAUUGGCUUCAGCCUAAGAUUGUGCCACUUUGCUGUUAUUGCUGUAUUUUCCUUCACAUUAUAGCUUUACAGCAUCACAAAGAGAAUGCACUGAAUAAGACACACUGCAGUCAGAUGCAGGCAGGGCCAACACAGGAGAAAGUGUGGUGUCUGUGCAAAACUGAAUCUAGCUCAGCAUAUUGGGGUAAUGCAAAGUCCAGCUGAAUGGCACCAUUUAAUGCUGAAAGAAGAGCCCAAGUGCCAGCCAGCACCAGGAGCUAAGGAGCACCCAUGGAGAAGGGUACAAAGGUGGCACUGAUGCACAGCACUUGGCUUGGCUCCCUCAAAGGUUGCAGCUGAGUCUCUGUUAACUUUUCCUCUACACAACAUUAUUGAGAAUUAUGCCAAGCUACUCAAUAGCAAUGCCUCCUUCUCACAGACCUUUCAUGAGAAAAAUAUCAGUAUCUGACAUCGCAGGCAUAAGCGAAGACAGUCAAAGGCACAGUUAGUUCUGUUAUAAGCUUGAGAACUUGGUUUUAAGUGUACCAAGGUCCUCAUCCUGCAAAGCACUUGGGGUUGUAUGGUUCAUGUAGCUGAUAGACAAGCCAGCAAGUUUUGUCUAAGCAGAGGCAAGAAUGAAACCCAGGUCUCUGGUAUGUUCUGUGCUCAGCUAUGAAAGCCGUCUCAUCCUUCUAUAUCCAUCUGGUUAUAGAAGUAUCUGGUAUAAAUGUGUCAACUGAAUUUGAAACUGUUACUUACAGUGCUACAAGGGGUGAUUCUUAUUUAUUACGAUUUUGUUAUCAGUAUUCUGGCAGAGCUGAAUUUCCUGUGCAGACACGCAGCAACCUGGUUCAUCACACAACCAAACCUUCAGCGUGGGGAAGUUGUUCUCAUUCACCUCUGUUUAUUUUCCAGCUCUUAUCCUAUCAGCCCAAGUGAAUCAAGGUGGGAGGAGGUGAAGCAAUUGGAAUGGGCAGUUUUUAAGGCUGCACUGAGUAUAAGGUUAAAAAAAAAUAUCAUAAAUCUUAUUUCAUGCUUUCUUGCCAAUUGUUAGAAAUGUGCAGUCCAUAUGAAUUCAUAUAACAAGGAGGGAAUGUUGGGAAAACCAAUAAAGAUUUUGUGGUCUUAACUAUAAUGAAUGUAGUUUGAUAUAGAGUCUGUUUUUCACUGCAUGGCAAAAUGAAUCAUAAAAUACUGGACCUUGAAACUCCUGCAUUUUUUAACAAUAGCCUGGGGACAGUUUACAGUGUAAUGAAUUGUAAUUAACCCACCUUCAAAAUCUUUUAUGAGUAUUUUGCCAAUUAGCUUCGCAUGCUUGCUAAUGACUCAUGGCCAGCGCAUGUCUUUACAGAGCAGGCUUUUACAGCACACACUAGCCUGUUAAGUCAGCAGAAGUAUGCAGGAUGGUGAGAUAGACACAGGUAAGACCCAGCCAGUCCUAGUGACAUACGUAUUUCAACAUUCAAAGAGCUUUUGCUGCUCUCUGAGACCCAAAAUAACUGUAAUAAUGUAUAGCAAUGUCAAAAGGCUUUGGUUUCCAAAGGAUUGCAAGGAAUGCAAAAGGGCUCAAGUCCUGACAUCUGUUGUUACUUAGUACCAACAUAUAUAAUGCUGCUAAUUGCUGAGCCAUCUUUGUUUUCCUUACUUAGCACUAGGGUUAGAAUUAUUUUAUUUUUGUGGUUCAUGGCUUCCUGCCACUUGCAACACAAGGUCCAUUCUAAAGAAAAUAAAACAACUACCAGACUGCCUAGUAGCAGUAUGUGGAGGGCUGGGGUUGUUUCUUCCCCUUUUUUUUGUUUUUUCUUCUCCCCCUUUUUUCCUUUGAAAUCUAGGGGAGGUAAGUGGAGACCAUGCCCCAAACAGAACCAGAGGAGGUAGGACCUGACUGGUGUCACACCUAACAAUUGUGUGAAGCAGUGCUCUAUUCCUUGCCAUAGCCAGAAAGAGAUGUGGAAGGAGGAAAUUCAAAGAGGAGGCAUGGCAUGAUCCUUGCCUGGUACCCUUCUUGCUCCAGGCAAUCUGUGGUUUAUGGACUUCCCAAAGCAGAGGCUGCCUCCAGACCAGUGUGUUUUAAUAGCCACCCAUGGAUCUAUCCUGCUUGAAUUUUUUUGAUCCUUUUCUCGAGCCAUUUAUAACUUCUGGCCUCCGCAACAUCCUGUGGCAAUGGGUUCCACAACUUAGUUAUGUUUUGCAUGGAAAAAAUACUUCCUUGUGUUGGUUUAAAUCUUCUUAUGUGAAUGUUUUGUUGGGUCCCCUCUAGUUCUUAGGAGAAGCCACAGAAAACAAUUUCUGUUUGUCUUUUCCUAUGUGUCAUUCAUGAUCAAACAGAUGGUGAAUGUAUCUCCUGCUUUUAUCAUCCCUUUCCACCCUGCAAACUCAUCUCCUUCAUUUCUCGUAUUUAUGGAAGCUGUUUCCCACCUCUCCUCAUCCUGAGUGCUUUUCAGCUCAACUCUUCUGGAGGCCAAGAAACUUGCUAUUAUCAUGACACAGUUUCAUAAUGAUUCCUGUCAUGGUGGAUUCUUAUUUUGCUCCUGCUGCAUUUCCAGAGGUGGUCAUACUUACCUAAAAUAGCUGGCAUGUUUGUAUCUGUGAGAAGCUGAACUCAGCCUGCUCUGCUUGAACAGAUGAAGACAGAUUUUUCUCUUUACCCAACCCCACUAUAGAUGCAUUUCUCCUGGAGAAUCAACUCUCACAGCAGUGUGAAACCAGUUAACGUUAGCAAGCCACUUCCUCGUUUCACAAAAUACUGCUGCUUUUCUGUUGUCUUGGAUCAUUCUCACUCCCCUGUCAGUCAGGUGAGUGGCUUAGCAGGAAGGGCCAAACUUGUGCCUCAUCCUUGUGAGCUGUGCAUCUGCCCUGUGACACAGCCCUCCCCUGGUGCAGCUGUGCAGCCAGACCUGUCACAUGGAGGUACCAUGCUGCUGGCUGUCACUCGUCCAAGGGCUAUUCUGCACACUAUUUUGCUCCUGGAAGUCCUGGAUAAUUGUAUCACAGCUAUGGGAGUCUGGCACUUUCUUACAGAGAACACAACUGCAAGCAGAUGGUGACCUUCAGAGCAACAUGUUUGGUCCAAAACUUUCCAAAGAAGAACUGUAGCAUGAAUAUAUUUUGAAACUCCAUGAUUGUGCUAUACUGACCUUCAUUGCAACUGCAAAUUUUUUAUUUUUUUUUUAUUCCCUCUCCUGUAUUUUAGAGUUUUUCUUACCUAGCUGCAUCUAUUCAGGUCAUGGAAAAAUAUUAUUUCUUUAUAAUUAAGUUCAAUAUGUCUACAGCCUAGAUAGACUGUAUUUACAGGGAUGGCUCUUUCUGCAUGUAGCAAGGGCUGCUUUACCAGAAGCCUAAUCCUGAAUCAGUAGGAAUGGUGGCAUUAAAUUAAAUGGGAGCAGGAUCACACCAUGCAUUAUUUUAGCCAAGCUAGCAUGCCACAAAGAAAUUUGUUGAAACAUUUAUUUAAAUAAAAAAAAAAGACAGAAACAUACGGUUAAAUAAUUAAUGGGAAUCAUGAAACACCUACACAGAAUAGUGGAAAGCAUGGAAAUCCUUAUACACGCAUUUGAAGUUACACCACAGAUUUCUUGGUUGUUUUUCUUUUUUGCUCUGCUAUUUUAUGUCCAUACAAAUAAUAUGGAUGGUGAUUAUGUGAUUGCAGAUUGCUCAGGUAACGUUUUCCUGUGUAGCAACCAGAAGUGAGUCAUGUUUAACAUGAAGCAAAGUUCACAGCUGCAGUGUUUCGUUCUGAGCAGUGCCAUUACCUAUAACACAGCAAAGCAUGGUGGGGGGGGGGAGCACACUGAUACUGCUGUCAUGCCAGAAAGCAAAGACAUAACUAAUUUUAGGGAAAGCAUGGGGGGAAGAGGUGGCUUCUGUCAACUAUAGCAGCAUUCUUACACUGCAGUAGAAACUGCUGGAACACUUUGUGUAACACCAACGUACUGCUGUGUAGAGAGACAUUAUUUUUGUGUACAGUUGCACAGAAAGGUUGAUCAUAUGUGCUACUGGGAUGAGAAGUAGUGGAUGUGCAAAGGACUCUCAGAGAGGCCAGUACAUUUUUUAUCUGCUGCUAUGUAUUCCCUUUAUCAGUUCAGGACAAUGAUCUGAGAAGGGAAGGAAGCCAAGCAUGGUGUACUGAAGAUGGGCUAAGGACUACAUCCUAUGGAAACUCCUGGGACAGAUGAAAUCCUCCCACUGAUCGACAUCUACCUUCUUUAUCUUCUUUAGCACUUAGCCUCUAAAACUUGGUGGAAAGUCAGAAGUCUGGAAGCAGCCAUUGCGUUCUUGAGUAAGGUGCUGUCCAUUUUACAACCAGCAUUUGUCUGUAGGUUCCACAAUGGCUCUUUUGUUUAAAUGCUCACUCCUUGCUAAGGAUUACUGACUGAAGUUCUUCAUUCUUGACACCACCCAGUUUCUCCCUGCUGACCAGCAUACUCCAAAGAUGGCUACUCAGGGGUCAGUGCUGCCAGCCAGCUGCUUAUCCUUGCAUGGGACAUCUGCCUGCUCCUUGCUAAAGCAGUGCCUGGGUGACCCAUCUGCUAAUCAAGAGGGACAGCUUUGAGGCCUAGCAGUUGCAUGGCUACCUCCCUGUAGCUACACAGGGCACAUUUCUGUCUUUCCCUCCCUCCUCUUUCAGUCCACUGUUAGUCCCCAUUCACUUGUUCCAUCAAACACAGUCAGUGUGAAAUUGGGCCCAGCAGGAGCACAUGUUUACACAUGAGAAAGAACUUUACAGCACCAGGCACUUAGAUGUCCUUCAAGCCUUCACCUCUCUAAGGAAUACCCUUUCUGAGCCAUCCUGUACUAACCUGGACAUUAGAAUAGAAUGUACACAAACAUACAUAGCAACUUAUCCCCUCUGAUUUAUUCAAAAUAAUUCUAUUUCUUUGUGUUUACCUUGAUUACUGUGAUCCAAGCAUUCAUUUCUUAGGCAGAAACAAACUUUUUUUUUUUUUUUUUUUUUUUUAAUAUAUACAAUCUCUGAUUUCUUUUUUCCCUGACAAAAAAAAUUUCCAACAUCCUUCUCCCAACCUAUGGCUGUCUGCUGAGACUCCAUGGGUAUGAUUCCUCUUCGACCAUUGCUGCUUGUGUGAGUAAAGAUUCAUAGCAGUAAGGCAUCCUCAGGUUUCGUAAACACCUAGAAGUUUCGUAUGGUCUUAUUCUUCUAAAACAACACCACCACUAUUAGUUUACUUUCUCCCUACAUUAAAACACAGCUGUCAUUCUAUGAAGACCACACAAAACUGCUGCAGACAUGACCAAUCAUUAGUUUUGCUUGAUGAUCAGACCUACUCACCUGUCAGCCUAGCUGGCUUGCUGAUGGCAACACUGCUUCUCUGAUGGCCCAAACAGAGGCUUCAAAUGAAAGAGAUAAUGAGAAUUUGGCAUAUUACUCUGAAGAGUCACAAUACAACAUUGCAGCUUCUUGGCACAAGUCACAGGUUUCAGCACCAAACACUGCUACAUCUUCUGACCUAUUUCCCUCACACUGCCCUAUGAGCUCCUCUAGCAAGCUCCACCUUAAGUAAGGAAAUUGACUGUGCUUAUAAUCACCAAUACUUAGCAAAUCUUUUUCUUAUUCCAGAAUAUGUCCAUCCACAGCAGUUUGUAUUACCAUUUUUGUACCAGCGCAUCCCUUUGCCUAGAGAGCUCUUCUCAACUCUUCUUCCUUAAUUUUCAGCUAUGACAUAUUCAUAGGCAGAAAUUCUGGUCACUGCCUUACUCAGCUAACCCCUCCCAAUGUCCCCUCUGUUGGCAAGCCCUGCUGUCCUUGUCCACCUGUUUCUGCUAUUGCUCCUACAUCAGCUCAUUUAUUUUGUUUCUUAGUGAGCAAAAAAGUGCACAACAUUGAAGCUGAACUCUCAUCUAUGCCUGGUGCACUGUCCCUGUCCGAUUUGUCCCCUGACUGCAUUUCCCUUUUCAUGGCUAUAGCAUAGCUGUGGCUCAGAGUCACCCUGUGAUUAGAGUACAUCCAAGUCUUCUUCCUCCCCAAGCUGCUUUAAGUGCAUAGCUCAUUACCAAAUGUUUUCUUAGUAACAAUACCCAGCUCUGCGGUGAUCUGCAUGAGCUAUGGGUCUGGGCCCCCUUCUCCAGAAGAGCCAGACUUUGCCAGCUGACACCAGCUGCAGAACCAGUUCUCAGUAUUCAGUGCACUUAGGGAGAAAGAAACAAGUAGUAAACUAAAGACAAACAGAGCUACACCACAGUCAACUGUAUUAUAACACUACCAACCAAGACAGCUGCUCCUGCCAACAUAGAAACAAGAUAGGAACUAGAGUGUUUCUAUUUUUGCAUUAAAAUAGAAACAGAGAUGGAGAGGACUUGAGGAAUUUAUCAAACCAAAUAAAUAUUUUUCAUUUUAAAAUUUGAAUGGAAUGGAAAUUAUAAUCUUCCACUGUUACCAUGGAGCUGAAUAAUUGUCCUUCCCCUCACUCGGCUUUUAGCAGUAAGGAAUUGGUUGCAGCAGGGCUGGAAGUUUGCAGUUUUCUUCCUCACCCAACCCAGCUCUCUUCUUUGAAUUACACUGCCUGGUUACUGACUCCAGAAAGAAGAGUCAAGUUUUGCAGUGAUUUUUUUUAAUAGAGUGUUAACUGAAAAAAGAGAACAAAAUGAACUUCUGGAUAGCAGGAACCACUGUUCUUCACUAUUCUUCCCUAAUUUAAAGCAGUGAACCUCCACUUUCAAAUAGAGAGGAGCCGCAGCGUCCAACUUAAGACUUUCCUGCGUGCCAGCUGCAAGCCAGUGGGAUGACUGGGAGGCUGGAGCAACACCAAAGCCGGGGAUUUUGAACCAGAUUGCUGCUACCACCCUCUUAUCUCAGAAGAAGAGCACUAGAGGCUGCCUAAACCUUGCUAGAAAAGGCCCAGUGAGGUGGAGCACUUUCUUGCAGUGACGUACAGAACAUCCCAGCCAAACCCAAAAACUGCUUUAAAAGUGAGGGUGUAGUACGCAUGGAACAGACUGUCAUUAACUCUGGAUAUUUCACUGCCUCAAGAGUAGAACAUUUCUGCUUGGUCAAAUAGAUAAUAAAAUGGAUUAACAAAUAA